rnacentral:rRNA from 1 species
AUGUGGGGGCACACUACAGCGGGAUAUGCUACGAUGCCCAUAGCAAGUAAAGCGACUGACCAUACAUACAGAUUGGAUAAAGCAAUCGGCGAAAAAGGAGACAUCCUUUUCGCCGAGGUUCAUGCCACUACGGCCUAUGCCGAAGCCGGAGAAACACAACUACGGAAACCGAAGCAGAAAGCCCAAGCCUUUUACCAGUUGAAUCGACGCAACAGGGGGAUUUCACGAGGUGCUCCUAACCACAGUUGUCGGCGACUUGGCACCUUUGCCGCAGCAAAGAACAAAAAUCGCGACCGAAUCGGAGCCCGGAACAAGCUAGCGCGACGGACUUGCGAGAGAAGACGCAUGGCAAGAAAGUGGCCGCGAGGAACUGGAGCAAUAGACAGAUCUCGGUGA